GCCAGUGUGGCAUAAUGGUUUGAAUGUUGGAUUAUGACUCUGGAGAUCAGUGUUCUAUUCCCUGCUCAGCCA